GCAGACUCACUGUGCACCUGGCUGCAGGCCCAGUGGGUGCUCGUUCCCUCUGCAAGAGAAACAAACAUUCCAGGGUGCUGUGGCUGCCUGAUCUAUAAAGGCGAUGCAGCUGCCUGGGGACAGACAG
ensembl:snoRNA